UACGGAGGGUGCAAGCGUUAAUCGGAAUUACUGGGCGUAAAGGGCUCGUAGGCGGCCAUCUAAGUCGAACGUGAAAUCCCCAGGCUCAACCUGGGAACUGCGUCCGAUACUGGCAGGCUUGAAUCCGGGAGAGGGAUGUGGAAUUCCAGGUGUAGCGGUGAAAUGCGUAGAUAUCUGGAGGAACACCGGUGGCGAAGGCGGCAUCCUGGACCGGUAUUGACGCUGAGGCGCGAAAGCUAGGGGAGCAAACGGGG
rnacentral:rRNA from 1 species